UACGGAGGGUGCAAGCGUUGCUCGGAAUUAUUGGGCGUAAAGGGUAGGUAGGUGGUCUCGUUUGUCAGGGGUGAAAGCCUUGGGCUUAACUCAAGAAGUGCCCCUGAAACGGCGAGACUCGAGUGCUGGAGAGGGUCGUGGAAUUCCCGGUGUAGCGGUGAAAUGCGUAGAGAUCGGGAGGAACACCAGAGGCGAAGGCGGCGACCUGGACAGCUACUGACACUCAACUACGAAAGCGUGGGGAGCAAACAGG
rnacentral:rRNA from 1 species